AGUGGACUACAUUUAGCGGCGGAGGGACACACCUGACUCUGGAUUACAGUUUGAGGCGGAUUGAUACACCGAGUGGAGUUUGGUAAGUUGGAGCGUUUACUACUGAAAGCAUCAAUGGCGAGAAGCAGAGUUCUGAAGAUCUCUUUCAUGAAGUGGAAAUGCUCAAGGAAGAAGAUUACAGCACUACACAGAGCAGAUUUAUUCCUAAACAACAUUCAUGGAACCUGUUUGCAAUAAAUGUGUUCAAAUGUGGCACUGUUUUUAUUUUGGGUACACAUUGCUGUUUUUAAAAGAUGUACCAAGAGCCAAGGUGAAAACUUAUGAAAUAUUUGUUGUUUAAAUAAAUGAUAUUUAUAAACAGAA